UCGGUACACUGUCAUAAACAAUUUAAAUAUCCCCACAUCGAUUAUUACCAACAAGCUAUCUAGGGCUCACCCAAUUCUAGAGCUACUGGAUAAGAAAAGGUAACUUGCAUGACGGGGGGUGUCUUAAAAUUUAGUUUAAGAAGAAGAUGGCUAAGGUGGAGAAGAAAAGAGCAGAUAAGGCGGCGGCCGCGGUAAGAGAUGGAGCUGCAAAACUUGGUGGUAUGCCAUCUCCAAUUUUGAUUAUCAUCUUCUGGCCUUGCUCACAGUGUGUUCCUUCAGAGCAGAGGAAGUAGUGCGUGUCAUUAUCUUUGAAAGUGACUUUAACUCCUGCAUCUUUCAAUAUUAAUCCCAUCUUUGUGCAAUUAUCGUACUCCUCCUUGGUACUUACUUCAGUUGCGGUAUGUGUUCCGGUUGUCCAGUUGAAUACUGAAAGAAAUGAAAAGGAAAACACGUCUCAUUGAUUGAUUGGCAUUGAGUAAGAAUAAUUCGGGGAAAUACCAUGAAUGCUUGUUCCUCAUGACGAAACCCACCAAACCUAUACCUACAUGUUAACUUAGGUUUAAGAUAAAGAGUGGCACGAUACCUCUUGAUAUAUAGGACUAGGCAUACCAGAGAUAUGGACCAACAUCAGUAUCAUAUCAUGCAUGCAUGCAAUAAAUAGAGCCGUAAUUAAUUAACAAGCUCAUAAAGAGAUCAAGAAAUGCUUACCGAAGGAGUCUCCUAUCUGAAAUGUGCUCUGGCUGGUCCAUUCCUCAUAGUAAGAGCUGUUCGGAGGAAUAAUCCAUCCCAAAUCACCUCCAACUGUGUAAGUAUUAGCUGCAUAUGCACCGUGAAGCAAACCCACCGAUGCAACAAUCAAGAACCCAAUAUUGAAACACAAUCGGCUACCCAUUUUCUUGCCUCUGAAUCAAUGUUUUAGGAUUCUUUGAUUUCGGAAAUAACGAGGGGGAAUAUAUAUAUAGUCUUUCAAAAAUGUCUUCAGCAAAGACCGAUGACGAUCCUCCCAUGAUAGGAAUGCACCUAUAUAUAGAGAGGGAGCGAGGAUAAGUUAUAUGCACGAUGAAAAGUUUGCAAAAGGUCACUGAUUGAGUGUUUGACUGAAAUUCUAAGAACGUCAUCAUGACAGAUGAAAACUAGGAUGCAGUCCUUAAUUUAUCCUGCCGACCCAGUUUUUGACAGCAUGCGAAUUAGGCAUAUAUUGUUAAAAUAUAUAGAAACAAACACUUGGUGAAGAAUGCUUCGUCUUUACUUUUUACAUGACAAAAUUACUCUCCUCAUAAAUUUGCCAUUCUUCUUUGACUGCUUUGUUGGUGUUUAUCUCUGCAAUGGCGUGUGGAUCAGAUAGAUCAAUAAAAUCCCUAGCUGGUUAAUAGAGUCUCCCUCGCGUGUCUUAUUUUCGGCCAGCCUCACAAGUGAUGAUAAAGAACACUGUCCCACGUUGAGCCCAUCUCCCUUUUUGGAGUUUGUCGGUUUCACCACCUCAAUCGGUUUGAUAUUGUUACUAGAUAUUUGUUAUAGAUCUAUUAUUUUUUUCAUUGCAGAAAGAUCAAGAUAAUGCAAAAUCGAGUACGAGAGAUAUUUGUUACUUUAGGGUGGAUUUGAUUUUUUUUAAUCCACAUGAAAAUUGAGUAGGAGAAAGGGAAAAAAACCAAAAAAAACAUACUCGCCACAUGGUUGUUAUAGUGCUACACGCGCCGCUAAUUUAUUGGGGGGACGCCGAGACACUUUGGAAGUCACCUUGAAAUCAUAGUUUUGGCCACUAGACGACGUUGCACGAGCCGUUAGAAGACGGUUAAUACUAUUCACUAAAUUCUUUUUUAAUUUUUUAUUUAUUUAUCAAAUUACCUUAUUGCCCUAAGAACACCCAAUAACUAUCAAAUAACCACAUGUAAAUGAUGAAAAAACCCCUGUAUCAAAGAAAAUUGAUUCUAAUUUUCAAGGGUAAUGAAGUAACUUACUUUUUUAAAAAUCAAGUCAAAGACUAAAUAGCUUCUUGACCCAAGUAAUUUUUUUUUGUCCUUUAAGGGCAAUUAAGUACUUACACUGUGCAAAGAAAACAUAAAAAUAUCGUCUAACCCCUUCCUUUCAAGUAGGCCAAUGUGUCCCAUGAAAAAUACCAUCUUACCCCUAAACCCGAGACAUGCUACUUUGCCCAUCAAAGGAUAAAAUCAGUUCACUGUGGAUUUGUACAAUGUAAUAUAAUGUAAUGAUCUUUGUUCUUAUGUUUAGAAUCCAUUUCAAUGAUAGCUCCAUGAUCUUCGACUUUCAUUAUCAUAUAAUUUGCUCCUGUUUUGUUCAAUUCAUUUAACAUGCUGAAUUGAGAUUCUCUAAUCACUUAUUAUUCCUCUCCUGAUUCCCUACCACCAUAGUUUCAGAUUGAGAUUUCUACUUUGGAUACAAAAUACACUCAUUAUUUUCAUUUAUACCCCGACCUGAUUAAAUUUAGUUGGAUCAACCAGGUUGUGGGUUCUAACUGUUAGAUUGACGGGUUAAUUCAGAUAUAUUAUUUUAUUUUUAAAAGAUAUUGUUUUAGUAUUUUUUUAAAAAAUUAUUAGUUUUGACCUAGUUGAAUUUAAAUUAAGUUUGGAUAAUGUUUAAUUAACCUGUCGAUGUUAAAAACAAUUCAAAAUACAACUUAACUCGUCACAUAAGUUUGGUCAGGAGAAUGUCAACAACAAUUCAAAAUACAUCUCAACUCACAGGUCAGACUUCAAAUUAACAGGUAAUCCAUUAGGUUAUGUUUAAUAAUAAUGUUUUGGAGCACAUGAAAUUUGAAUUGCAUUUCAGCAAAAAAACCAAAUUGCAAGUGAGCAGGCUCUUGUUCUGUGUUGGAAUUUCAGUUAAUAAGUAUGGGCUUCAUGCCUAUGUGAUUGAGCUAAAAACUAUUUUGAAAGAGUAAUUAAGUCCAUGUUGGGGAGUGAGGAGUAAGUUAGAAAUUGUAUUUUAAAGUAUUUUUUUUAUUUAAAAAUAUAUUAAAAUAAUUUUUUUUAAAAUAUUAUUUAUAUUAAUAUAUUAAAACGAUAAAAAAAUAUAAAAUAUUUUUAAAUUUUUUUAAAAUAAACAUGGUUUCAGCCUUAAUGCCAAUCACCUUUCAAAUAACCAAGACCUCGUCAACUUUGGCUUCCGGAAUGGCAAACAAAUUGUCAACCUUUUUUUUUUUUCUUCUGUUAAGCAAAGAGUGUUUGUUUACGUGGUUACUUCUGUUUUUGAAACAAACCACAUAAAACAAGUGUUUGGUUACUAAGAAAACAUGAUUUAUUUCAUGAAGGAUCCAUCAUAUUUCAUGUUAAAAAUGCAAGUAGAUAGCAGUUUGACGCUGCUUCUCUCUGCCUCCACAUAGUCCACUGUUCACUUUUGUAAAAGUGAACAGUGGAGACAGUGGAGAGUGAAUAUAAUAUUCACUCUCCACUGUGUGGAGCCAUAGAAGAAUGUAUUCUGUUUCGGUCGGACCGGAUCCAGUAAAAAAAAAUCUAAUUUUUUUUAAUUAUAUUUUACUUGAAAAAUUAGUGUUUAAUAUUAUUCAAUAACACUAUAAAAAUUAGAAGAAGAUCGUAUGAUAACGUAACAUUUGCAGAAUUUGAUCGCAAUUCCAAUUUUAUUCCUGAUGAUAUUUUACCUGAUUUUGUUGCACUCUUAAAAAACCAUGAAAACUGUAGUCCUUAUCAGAUAAAUUUCGUACGUGAUGAAAUUGUAAAUAGGUUAAUGAAACAAUAAAAAAUAUUUGAUAUAAAAAUAUUAUUUAUUUAAUGAUGUAAUAAUAGUAGUUAAAUCUACAAUAUUUAAAUUAAAAAUCAUCAAUAUUAAUAUAUAUCUUUUUUAGUUAUUUUAUAACCUCAAUUUCAAAAAUAUUUUUUUACCAAACACAUUAAUCUAUUUUUUAUUCAAACUCAAUUUCAACCACAAUUUUAACCAAACAUAUAUAAAUAUCAAACCAACCUCAACUUUAAAAUUCGAGGGACCAUUGUGUAAAGAAAUGGAAGUAACUUUUCAUUUCAAAAAACGAACACCUGGUUUGGUAUUGCGGAUGUGUUUCACAUUUGGUAAAUUCUUCAUGUUUGUCAGUCGGAUCUGUGUCCAAAAGUGAUAUUUUUCCACGAUUUUUGAGAUCUAAUUCAUGAUUUUUCAUGGGUUUAUUAAAUUAUUUUCUUAAAAAUAAAUGAUAUUUCAGCUAAUGGUCACUUGAAAAUCAUAAAUAAGACUCUUUUAAUUUUAUUUUUAUUUUUUUAAGUGGAAUCUCCUGUACUGUUAUAUCAAAUCGAUCCUUGAUAUUUUCGGAUUAGUUUUGGAAAUGUUUUACUUUAAAGACAACAAAUCUUCACGUUCAAUAUGAAUAAUUUUUCUAGCACAAUCACAUCUUAAUUUCUUGUUAAUAUAAUGAUUUCUCUCUAACAUUUAUUCCAGCAAGAAAGAACAGAGAUAAAUAAGACUAGCAGCAACAACGAUGGUGGUGGAAAUAACUGAAGACAAGGCAGCCAUGUUCUUUUUGCCGUAGAUGAAGGAGGAGAGCUGAGUUUCCAUUUCCAACUGCAGUAUAUGGUAACCUUCUGACCCAAUUGACAGCCUGGUCUAACGCUACAAAUGAAGCUGUAUGUUCAAUUUUUUUUUGUUGUAUAACUACUAUCAUUUUAUUUGAUAAAAUUAAGUAUUUAAUAAUUAUUUGUUAAAAAAAUAAUGUAAAUCAAAUCUAGAGACUGUAUAAUUUUUUUUUAACUGAAAUAAUUAUUUGAAAUUGUUAAAGUAACGAUUACAAUUAAAAAAAACUAGAAAUGCAUAGGGGAAAUGCAUUUCUGGUUUUUUUUUAAUAAUUAUACUUCAAGGAAAAUGCAUAGGGGAGUGGUGCACCAUCUGUCCAUGACGUGAACGUGAUGGAUAUUAACAGUUCUUAUUCGUAUAGCUGCUUCUGCAUGACUAUUCUUACAGGUAAUUGAGAUCUUCGGGUCCCUUUAGUAAUUGACCCAGUGGUUGAACCAGAAAUUUGAUGUUUAAACCAUUAAACUGGAACCUUCAUCAGUUCUCUCCGUCACUUCUGAAAGCUAUGCGUAGAAGUCUCAGGUUCUGGGGGUUGCAGGCCAGGCACAACAUCAGGUGGGAAAAAAAUUGGAAAGGUGAGGUUUCCGAGUUUUUCCCCAUACUAGAACAGUGGGGAAAAUAUUUCUCAAAUUAACAUAGUUGAAUAAUUUCUAAAUUAACAAAGAUGAAUCUAGCGUGGGAGAUAUUCGUGCUUUUAUCUAAAAAAAAGAUAUUCGUGCUAGUCCGGGCUUUCUUUUAGAUUUUAGGAAGACUGCUUUCUCCGCAUAGGCAUCAAAAGCAUGCAUAACAUUUGACAAUCCAGCUAAAGAAACAGAUGUCUGAUGUGAGAUGUUCAAGAAAGACCCCUGUCAAAUUUUUUGAUCUGUUGCAGUAAGACUUGCACACACACGCAACAGCUUAAACAUUUUGUAUUGCUCUCAACUAUUAGGAAAUCAGGCAGCAAGAAAACCAUAAAGGAAGAACUAUGAAAUCUGUCAUAAUAUGUUCAAAUAUCAAAUCAAGAAUUUGUGUAGAAAAUACUUGUGAAAACAUGGGAUUUGGACAGCCCUUACAAGGAUACCUGGUAACUUUUUUCUUUUUUUUACAUGAACCUAUUUUGUGUAAAUGAAAUAAUCAUACUAAAUUAUAUAAUUCAACUACCACUUAUUUCGAUCCAUAUGAGGAGGCUAUGUCAUAACUUCUGGUCAUAAAAUGUGACAGGACUGGCAGGAGGAUGGUCCAACCAAGGCUGUCUCCUACUGACCUUAUCGGUGUAUGAAUCUUCCAUUGCAAAGACAACUUUAUUACAACGAACAAAUGUAAUCGGUACACUGUCAUAAACAAUUUAAAUGAAUCACAUCGAUUAUUCUAUAUCCCCACAUCUUUUUAUUCCCAACAAGCUAUCUAGGGCUCACCCAAUUCUAGAGCUACUGGAUAAGAAAAGGUAACUUGCAUGACGGGGGGUGUCUUUAGAUUUAGUUUAAGAAGAAGAUGGCUAAGGUGGAGAAGAAAAGAGCAGAUAAGGCGGCGGCCGCGGUAAGAGAUGGAGCUGCAAAACUUGGCGGUAUGCCAUCUCCAAUCUUGAUUAUCAUCUUC
rnacentral:lncRNA from 1 species